CGCGGCAGAGCUUAUGGGUAGCACCAUCCCAUGUCACAGCCGGAGAAAAGAGGCCCAGAGCAGCGUGGUGACUUGGGUGAGGCCACCCAGCUGGUGAGGCAACAGCUCAAGUGCCCUGCCCAGGACCCCAGCGGCAGGCCCGGGCCUGUCUGACGCCUCGGACCGUGCUCUCCCCUCCAGCACUGCCUCUUGCAGGUUUGGCUCCAGUGCCACUAUUGGCCCAACUCUGGGAUCAGACAGCCUGACUUGAGCCCCGUGCUCCCGCUCCUUGUCAAGGCACCUGGGCCCUCAGUGGGGUUCUUGUGAGGAUGGGCUCACCCACGUCCCAGUGCCCAACCUGCUUUUGGACAGGGUUAUCAGGGUGGAGCAGCUCCUAGAUAGCUGUCCCAGAGAAGGAAAGACACAGGGCAUCUAGCAGAUGCCAGAGCUGCCUGGAGAGGUCUGGUGAGCUCCAGCAGUAGAGCCAAAUGCCCGCAAGGAUGGAGGGCCCAGUUUUCAGGGGCCACAGACAGUCUGUGCUUCAGCUGACCCCACCAGGAUGCCAGGAGGCAGGCGGCACUUUCACUUGUGUUUCGGAUGGGGAUGCAGAACUCGGGGACGUUGAAGAAAUCAUAAGCUCAGCUCUAGGGGGAUGCUAGCAGCUUGUGGACCCCACUGUGUCUCAGUUCCCAACACCAUCGCCCCUGACUCCAUCCUGAGCUGGUGCACGUGUUAUGAGGACUGAACGAGGAGACACGUGUAAAGUGCCUGGGACUCACUGUUAUCUGCUGGCUCUGAGCCAGGCACCGUGGAGGACCUGAGAAGAUCUUCCAUCAACAAAGCACUGGAGUCCUCCAGGGCCUGGGCCUUGUCGUGCCUCCAGCUCAUCCCAGUCCCUGCCCUACAUGCGUCCGCACACUGCUCACAACCCUCCACGAAUGCCCCCGCUCCAUCCCUCUGAUCAUCAUAGAAAAAGUUGGAGACAACAGUAAGGUCCCAUAGAUAAAGUUUAAAAUCACCCGUAAUCUUAUUUCCAGGGUUGACAUUUCGCUCCACAUACUACCCAUCUCCUCCUUUUCUGUUUCUUGCUUUUCAAAACCCAGAAUUAGGGGCACUCUUGUGGAACCUACUUCCCUUGUUCGUGGGACGUGUGAUGAGCAUGGAUGUUUUCCUGCCACAUCACAUUUCAGCACCAGGAUUUGGCUGCUUGAAAUUCCUUGGACAUGCCAUAAUUUUUAAAACUGAUGCCCUCUGGCUGGGCAUCUAGCUUGUUUCAGAUUUGGGGCUAUUAUAAACAGCCUGCAGUUAUUGCCCCGGGACACCUUCCUGGAAGGUGAAUUUCUUGGCUAGGCGAUAUCACACCAAAGCUCUCUGGAGACUCUGAGGCUUUGAACAGCUGGUCCCUCUGCUGGGCUAUCCCUUAUCCAUUUAUCCUCAUAGUGAAGUCUUCCUCCUUGGGAGCACACACAUCACCUUUCUGAAGUGUCCCCGGGCUGCAUCUACUGCCCUUCUUCCUGCCCUCAGCUGCCCUCUUCCUUCUGGUGUCAUGAGCAUGUGCUGAUUUCCUGCCUCCCCGAGGGCAGACAGGCUGCCUUGUCCAACUUCUCUCUCUGGCUUCCAGCACAUAGUAGGUGCCUGGGAAAUGGUUCCCCGCUGAACGAGCCAUCCCCCCGGCUGGUUCAGCAGUGCAGGAUUGUGUGGUGUUUCUGUUAGUCUCCAUGAACAAGU